UUGGACUACAGACCAAAGAUUCUGACACCACCCAAACUAGCAGUGAUAUGUUCCUGUUCCUAGCCCUAGAUUUGGUUGAUCAAAGACGCUAGCAAAG